rnacentral:lncRNA from 1 species
UUUGGAUUUUGCAUAGACCAGCUGUAUGUCUCUUGCUUAUCUAGUUAUUCUUUUUCCCUUAACUCUUGCCAUUAUCUCUUCCCAAAUUGUUUCCUCCUUAACUGUGAAAUAUUCAUCAAGGCAGAGGCUGACACUACAGCAUCACUACACUCCUUUGAAUGUUCCUCAUACCACCAGUAUUUUAAUCCAACAAAAUUUCAAAGCACCAUGCCAUCAGAGGGUUCCACGGUGUGCUGCAAAAUCGGUUGAAACUUGUUUAUGUUCUGAAAAUAAGAUCUUAGUGGGGACAGAAAAAGAAGAAAGCAAUUUCUAAAGCUACAGGAAACACAAAACUGGAAUGUAAGUGAGUGAGUAAAUUCAGAUUAUCACAAGGUAUCAGAUGUUAAUGGUUCUAGGAUAUUUAAAAGGCAAAUCUUGAGCUCAAUUUUAAGAAAUCAGGAACUCAGAGAGUUACGUAUGAGACAACACAUUUCAAUAUGCAGAAUAUUUGAG